AGAACAGAAGACAAAACUAGUGGCUUCCUCAAACUUAAAAUUAGAAUAAUUAAUACUAAUAGCAUACCUUUGUAGAGGUUAAAAGACUUUCAAAUACAUAAAUGGCAGUAAUAGUGCCUUUGCUAAUACAAUUCUUACCAAAUGAAGGACUCAGGUUGACAUAUCUAGGAUUUGGUAAUUUCUUAACUGAAGGAAAUGAUUUUGAAAAUACUUUGUUGGUAUAGCUUGUUCCUCAUUUUUUUCAAACUGAGGUUAGAAGAGCGACGGCAGUUAGGCUUUUCCGUUACCAACCUCAACUCAGCAGAGAGAGAGAGAGAGAGAGAGAGACAGAGAGACAGAGAUGCAGAGAGAGAGAGAGAGGGAGAGGCAGAGAGAGAGAGAGAGAGAGAGAGAGAGAGAAGGAGAGAGAGGCAGAACCAGCCAGAGUGAGAGGGGAAUAGUUCAAACAGGGCAUCAGUAUGACCUGCGGCACUAUACCACAGUGAGACACUGACACAAGGCUCCGUGCUGCUGUAUAAACUGGAUCUACAGCGUUUCGGUUCUCAACCCAGUGGAGGGGGAAGCAGUCACCCGGUCUUCCAGAUGGAGUGGGGUGGGAACCUUCGCCCUACGAAGACACGCUCGGGCCCCCCAGCACUGCCCGCCAAGCAGCGCAGGAGCAUGUACUCCGAGGGUUCCAACGUGGACAUGGACUGGGGGAUGGUGGGGCUGCCCAGCCUGGCCGGCCUCCAGCUGCUGGACCAGCCGGACCCAGACGUGUUCCUGGAGGGGGUCUGCUGCCAGGAGGCCCAGUGUCCCCUACACAAGGGCUCCGUCUCAUCCUGCUGUCAUGAGGACGAGGUUUUCUCAGAGGGCCUUCCCCCACCUGUCCCCCGUAAGAAGCUGGUGCGCGCCAUGUCGAUGCCCGAGGGGUGCACCCCGCCUACUGCCCCACAACGGCCACCUAGGCCCCCCGUGUCGGGACUGAAUAAACAGGUCACCGACCCACAAUGCUUCGACAACCCGCUCUACAUGUUGUCGCCACUGGAGGGCGCCAUUUCCCCGGAGCGCAGUGAAGCGCAGACAGCAGCCACAGCGAAUCCGCUUCUAUCGUCCGACCCCAGCAGUGACACCACGCCCCUCUCCAAACUGUCGUUUGACACACCGGACGAGCAGGUGCUGCCGUACCUGUCGAGCGAGGCCGCGGGGGUUAUCAUCGCGCAGAGACAUCUGUUGUUCCUCCGGAAAGCUGCGGACGCAUUGGAAUCCGACCUUUUGAUGCUAGGGGAGGCUGGCGGGUUGUCAUACUCACCGGAGAACUUCCAGCUGUGUGACGGAUAUGAGCCCAGGCAGAUAGGAGAUGACGUCUACAUCAAACUGCACUGCAACAAGCUUCCAAACAAAGUACUGGGUGCAAGGGUGUACAAUCCAGAUAACCAUUCGGCCCACUCCGUCCCCCAGUCGCCGCACGUCAACCUGCGACAAGUCCUCAUUAAUUUCUCACCUAGCAGAACACAAGAGACAGCAGCACAGCCAGACUGCACACCUCCAAUGCGGCCACUGGGUGGCAUUAGUGAGUUUGUUGACAGCCAACUGGUUUCCCCCAUAAAUAACUCUCCGACUAUUAUAGAGUUAUUGGAGAGGGGACAUGCUGUGAGUGUUGAAAGAGAUUUUCCUCAAGCCACACUAGGGGACUUCUUUCAGGGCCGCUGUGCCAAUCAAACCUCUGAUCCCGCGCUAUAUGCGAAACAGCUGUGUCUCCUGUUGCUGCAGGUGGCCACAGGCCUACAGCCGCUGUGCAGUAACGGAGCAAUGUACACAGAGUUAAGACCGUCCAAUGUUUUCCUUGUGUGGCCCAGUAGGGCGCCAGCCGCGUCCGACAGAGCAGAAAGUAGAAUGGACAAAGAACGAGCCGCGGUUCAGACGCACUGGGAGAGAAUAGGAGCGCCUCGCGUGGUUCUCAACAACACACCCUAUAGGGCCUCUUCCAAACAUCACACCGUGUCCUCCACCAACGCCCAGAUCGGAGGGCUGAUUCUCCAAGGCCUCUCCUCUGUCAAACGGGGCUCGCUUCCAAAAUCCACCAGCGAUCCUUACACUGAGAGACUGCUGGAUCUGGCGGGAUGGCUUCAGGACGAGAGCGCCGCGCUGCCGCUGUCACACACGAAGACCAUCCUCCAAGCCCUCCUCUGGGGGCCCCGGGCCCAGCUCUUCACCUUCCACAUCGGCUCGGCCACGUCCACCAUGAACUCCUGGCUGACCAUCAGCCGCAGCUUGCUGGUGCUGAAGAUGGCCGAGAGGGGCCUUCUCCAGGCCGGGCCGCCCAUGGACUGGGAGGCGUGCCUCCGCCUCAGGUACUUUGCGUCCUGUGACGCCGAGGAGUUGAGCAGGGCCUCCGAGCGCCUAGCGCUCCUCCGAAAGCUAUGA
rnacentral:lncRNA from 1 species